AAUAUGUUAGGAGGGCAUUGCCUAGUCAGCAGCUUGUACCUCUCCCAGGCUUCAUAGAAGGUCUCACCAUCUCUCUACCUGAAGGUCUAAACCUCCACCCUUAGAUU